GCCAGGCAUGGUGGCGCAUGCCUGUAAUCCUAGCUACUUAGGAGGCUGAGGCCGGAGAAUCGCUUGAACCCGGGAGGUGGAGGUUGCAGUGAGCCGGGAUUGCUCCAUUGCACUCCAGCCUGGGUGACAGAGUGAGACUCCGUCUCAA
rnacentral:SRP_RNA from 1 species